GAAAGAUGCUUUUUACGACAGGUCGUAAGUGACGGUCCAGGCGGCGCGACCGCAGCUGGAGGGCGGAGGAGGCGGCGCGGCCCGUCUUGUGCUCGCCAUGAGGCCGCAGCAGGCGCCGGUGUUCGGAAAGGUCUUCAUUCAGCGAGACUACAGCAGUGGCACACGCUGUCAGUUCCAGACCAAGUUCCCCGCGGAGCUGGAAAACCGGAUUGAUAGGCAGCAGUUUGAAGAAACAGUUCGAACUCUAAAUAACCUUUAUGCAGAAGCAGAGAAGCUUGGGGGUCAAUCAUAUCUUGAAGGUUGUUUGGCUUGUUUAACAGCCUACACCAUCUUCUUAUGCAUGGAAACUCAUUAUGAGAAGGUUCUGAGGAAAGUCUCCAAAUACAUUCAAGAGCAGAAUGAGAAGAUAUAUGCUCCCCAAGGCCUCCUCCUGACAGAUCCCAUUGAGAGAGGACUUCGAGUUUUUAGAUUGAAAUUACCAUUUAUGAAGACAGAGGGAUGAGCAGUGGAAGAUAAACCAUGGAAUUAAAGAGUAAUAUGCAAAUUAACCAUCACUCCACUACAUAAGCCAUGCCCACCAGCCAAUCAGGGCGAGUAUGCAAAUUAACCCCAACCAAGAUGGCUACCAGAAGGGAGGCUUGGGUUUCCCCGGCAACAGAGGAAGCCAAGCUUUCCACACACUCUGGCCUGCCCAGGCCUCCACUCAAGGAUACAAAGUUUCAAUUAUAGAAGGUAAACAAAUCCAAACAGAAAUGGCAGCAGCCACGGAUCAAGCAGGAGGCUUGGCUCCGCUCCAGGAUACAAAGUUUCAGUUGUAGAAGAUCCCAGCUCCAGCUGGGAACCUCAUCUCUCCACUGGCUGAUCGCAGAGCGUCCCCUACCUCCUCUACAGAGCGUCAUUCCUUUGUAUCUGCUGCCAGAGCCACGGUGCCAUUUACUCCAAGGACUAACUUUCUAAAAUUCCACACCUGGAGUGACCGCUAGUCGCUCAGCAUCCACUUUUUGUCUCCAAAUUGUGUAGGACUCUGUAAUCUUUUCAUUAGUUUCUGAGAAAACACAAUGAAGCAUUUCACUUUUUUUAUUCAGAGCCAUUAAUGAAAUAUGCAGUUGGUUAGCCCAACGCAAAGUUCAUUUAUCUGCCACCAGUACCAAUGGUUCUCUUCAUUCCUUGGGCCAGCUUCCCAGGUGGCUAUAGACCUCAAAGUCAUGUCUUAGCCAGUGUUCAGUCUCAUUCCCCCAAAUUAACAAGAUGCUUUUCUUCAGGAUUUUAGUAUAGGGUAGGCUGUGUCUGUGGUGUUGCUAAUGCAUCUCCCAGAUUUCAAAGAACUAUCAGUUUUGCCAUGACUCAAAUCUUAAAGAUCUAUUUCUGUUGUUAAGUUUCUCCAACUGAAGUUCAUUGGAAAAAUAAUGUGUUCUUUGUUUUAUUAUAGCAAUUAUUUCUAAUAAAGCAGUAUUUAAUACAGUU